rnacentral:lncRNA from 1 species
CCAGGCCGCUCUUGACUUUUUUCUGCAAAAACUUUAAAAAUGUAUGGUUCGUUGUCAGGCAGCUGGUGAGCACCAGGAGCAGUGGUCUCUGGUCUGGGCACUGGGACAGGGGGCCUGCUGGCCAGGUCCACAGAAAAGGCCUCAUCGUCAUCCACCGUGUGAUAAACAUCUUCUUCCUGACCAAGAUGGCACUGAUCUCUCUCCAGAUUGGUCAUUCCCAUGCUGUUGCCUAGAAACGCAGAGAAAGGUGACUGAAAGCAGUGGCCAAACAAACUGGGUGAUCAUCAGUCAUAAAGCAGAGUGAGGGACCUUACUUUGUUUCCUCAGUGC